rnacentral:rRNA from 1 species
UACGUAGGGCGCAAGCGUUGUCCGGAAUUAUUGGGCGUAAAGAGCUCGUAGGCGGCUUGUCACGUCGGGUGUGAAAGCCCGGGGCUUAACCCCGGGUCUGCAUUCGAUACGGGCUGGCUAGAGUGUGGUAGGGGAGAUCGGAAUUCCUGGUGUAGCGGUGAAAUGCGCAGAUAUCUGGAGGAACACCGGUGGCGAAGGCGGCAUCCUGGGCCGGUAUUGACGCUGAGGCGCGAAAGCCAGGGGAGCAAACGGG